rnacentral:rRNA from 1 species
UGGGGAAUAUUGGACAAUGGGCGAAAGCCUGAUCCAGCCAUGCCGCGUGUGUGAAGAAGGUCUUCGGAUUGUAAAGCACUUUAAGUUGGGAGGAAGGGCAUUAACCUAAUACGUUAGUGUUUUGACGUUACCGACAGAAUAAGCACCGGCUAACUCUGUGCCAGCAGCCGCGGUAAUACAGAGGGUGCAAGCGUUAAUCGGAAUUACUGGGCGUAAAGCGCGCGUAGGUGGUUUGUUAAGUUGGAUGUGAAAUCCCCGGGCUCAACCUGGGAACUGCAUUCAAAACUGACUGACUAGAGUAUGGUAGAGGGUGGUGGAAGUUCCUGUGUAGCGGUGAAAUGCGUAGAUAAAGGAAGGAACACCAGUGGCGAAGGCGACCACCUGGACUAAUACUGACACUGAGGUGCGAAAGCGUGGGGAGCAAACA